GCCAGGCGUGGUGGCUCACGCCUGUAAUCCCAGCACUUUGGGAGGCCAAGGCUGGCAGAUCACGGGGUCAGGAGAUGGAGACCAUCCUGGCUAAUAUGGUGAAACCCCGUCUCUACUAAAAACACAAAAAUUUGAAGGUGAAAGGUACAUCUUACAUAGCAGCAGACAAGAGAAGGAAUGAGAACCAUCAGAUCACUUGAGACUUAUUCACUACCACGAGAACAGUAUGGGGGAAACUGCCCCCAUGAUUCAAUUAUCUCACACUGUGUCCCUCCCACAACACAUGGGGAUUAUAAGAGCUAUAAUUCAAGAUGAGA
rnacentral:lncRNA from 1 species